rnacentral:lncRNA from 1 species
GGUUGGGCUCUGGCCGGGAGUCGACUGAGGCAGCGAGAGCCGGGAGCGCGCGCGCGCGCCCGCGCCCGAACCGACCGCCGCGGCCGCUCGCUCUCUCUUCUGCCGCCUUCUGCCAUGGUCGUGUUCUGCCCCCUCCGCCCUCCUCGGCCCUCAGGUCUCAGCUCCGGCAACAGCCUCUCAACAAGGCCCCCUCCCCAAGGACCACCAUGACCAGAACUCUCCAAGCCACCCGGGCCUGCUGGGAUCAGUGCAACAGGAGAGAGAGACAGCGGCAUGGAGGCAGCCCUACUGGAAGGUGUGGAAGUCACAGCUCCUCACAGUCAUGCGGGGUCACCCUGAUGGGCGGGACCCGAAUCAGGAGCCAGACGGGGAACUGGACGAGGAGCGGAACAGAGGUGGUAAAGGCAGCAGCCCAGCCGAGGUCCCCUUUCACUCUUUCUUCUGGAAGCCUCAAACAAGAGACAGCUGGGACUCAGUGAGCCCCACAGACUGCUUGGGACAGCCACACCGUGGCCACCCACGCCUCCAGCCGCCCCGGCUGCUGGAAGGCUCCCAUUUGGAGUUUCUCAGCUGACUCCAGCAGAGAAGUGCCCGUGUCAUCGCCCACUGCCACCAUGCUGUGAUUAGUUAGUCACUGAGUGCCCGUAGCUUUUAAUUAACUGUUAGCCCUGCACGGGCAGCUGUUCCACGAACCACAUCUGAUUGUGGCUCCCCCAGUCCGGGCUGAUGGCACACUUCAGUCACGCAAAUGAUGCUGCAUAUUUUGAUGCUGCAGGAGUGGCAGCUGCAGCAACUGAUGGAAGCCACCAGCCCCAGGAGGGAGAAAAGAAGGCCGCUGUCAGCCGGGGAGCCAUCAAGUGUGCAGGGCUGAGAGGAGAAGGCCACACAAGCUCUGUGAGUGGGCUGAUGUGCUGUGAUGCUAUCGCUAUAUUAGAAGUAACUCAAACAAGCAUUAAGUAUAAAGACACCCACAGGUGACACGUAACCAGAGAUGAGACUUCAGGCAUAGCUGGAUCCAGGCGUCCAAGUGGAACUACCAGAACAGGUGGGGCCUGAAAUCGGAAGAGCACCUGCAUGCUGGACGAGCCAUUUGAAUACAGGAGCUUCCUUACAUGAGGCAGAGGUGAGAUAGCAAUACUGUCACAUGCCCAGAUGGGGACUUCCCUUGCUUCUCUCUGAUUCAGUCAUUUCCUCCCAUCUCUGGACCUCCACGUCAUCCGGGCCCUACUUCUAUGAUAGCCUUACCCAUUUAAUCUUAG